rnacentral:rRNA from 1 species
GGCUCACCAAGGCCACGAUGCAUAGCCGACCUGAGAGGGUGAUCGGCCACAUUGGGACUGAGACACGGCCCAAACUCCUACGGGAGGCAGCAGUAGGGAAUCUUCGGCAAUGGACGAAAGUCUGACCGAGCAACGCCGCGUGAGUGAAGAAGGUUUUCGGAUCGUAAAACUCUGUUGUUAGAGAAGAACAAGGAUGAGAGUAACUGUUCAUCCCUUGACGGUAUCUAACCAGAAAGCCACGGCUAACUAC